GCUGUUUUCCAGAAAUCGUCUCUCAGAGACCCACUGUCAGUUGCCAAAGGAGGUUAACCCGAACCGUCUGAAGAACUAGUGACCAUACAAAUCCCAGAGGUGCCUCAGCCCUCAGUAAAAAUGGGAACUGCCACCGUUUCCCAUUUGCCCUUCGUGGGGUAGCCGCCAGUAAUUGGCACACGCUUUGUAAGGAAGCAGAAACGUGGAGAGACAGAGCCACCUUCCCAAAGCUACAUGGUUACUUAGCAGCCCUGCCAAUGGCAUUCAGUCCUUCCAACUUCCACCUCCGCAGCCGGGCCGUGGCACUGAGGACGGGCCCCGCUAUUUCCCAGCUUUACGAACAGAGCCCUUUGCUGCAGGGGCCCUCCCUGUCUACAGAGGUGUGUGCCGAAGCCUGUAGAAGUCUUCCCGAGAUGCUACCAGGUAAAGCCACGGCCCAUUCCUGACAGACAGCCGUCACCUGGCAAGGCUGGGGUGCCAGGAGACUGGUGAUGGGGGACUGAGCCUGCCUCCCAGGGCUACCGCUGCCAACACAGCAGCAGUACUGGGACACCACGUGGGCUGGCAUUUGGCUUUCUCUUCUACUGCUAACAGAUGCCCUAAUUCCACAGCUCCAUCUAAAUCAGAAGAAAAAGGGCAUUUGAGUCUUAUGUUUGACUCAGCAGAAAAGUUUGUCUCACUAACAUAUUUUAUGGAAACAAAGAAGAAAAGAAAAAGAAAAAAAAAGGAGAGUUAGUAUAUUCAUUAAGAGUAAAGAAAGCCUAGAUCCAGGACAAUAUGUGUCCACGUGAGCUCAGGUUAUGCUGCUUUGGUUUACAGAGAGCUGGAUGUGACAUCCUAGGCAAACACUCAGGGCUCUUACAGAUUCCCUCAGCUCAGUGCGUUCUGUGGGGAAAUCACUCAGGC